UUUUGAAAAAUUAAUAUUUUUUAUUGUUAAAAAUUAAUUUGAUUGAUAAAUUAAUUAUACAGUUACACGUGACGAGUCAUGUGUAUCUCAUUUUAAUGUACAAAGAUUAAUUUUUAACAAUAGAAAUGUAUGGAGUUUUUAACA
rfam:Gossypium hirsutum cultivar TM-1 scaffold5811.1_1, whole genome shotgun sequence